UUCUGGCGUUCUGCCUCAGCUUCCAGUGCAAGGCCGAGAUGGCGACCGCAGCUUGGCUUCUGGGACGGCGCGUCGCAAAUUGGAGGCUGCGGACUCCGCUGGCGCCGCUUGCCAGCGUCGUGUCACAGCGGGCCCACUCCCUCUUGCCCGUGGACGAUGCGAUCAACGGGCUAAGCGAGGAGCAGAAGCAGCUUCGUCAGACCAUGGCUAAGUUUCUUCAGGAGCACCUAGCCCCCCAGGCCCAGGAGAUUGAUCAGAGCAAUGAGUUCAAGAACCUUCGAGAGUUUUGGAAGCAGCUGGGAAACCUGGGGGUCUUAGGCAUCACUGCCCCUGCUCAGUAUGGCGGCUCUGGCCUGGGCUACCUGGAACAAGUUCUGGUGAUGGAGGAGAUAUCUCGAGCUUCUGGAGCAGUGGGGCUCAGUUACGGCGCUCACUCCAACCUCUGCGUCAACCAAAUUGUGCGCAAUGGAAAUGAGGCCCAGAAGGAAAAGUACCUACCCAAGCUGAUCAGCGGCGAGUACAUAGGAGCCCUGGCCAUGAGUGAGCCCAACGCCGGCUCUGAUGUUGUCUCCAUGAAGCUAAAAGCAGAAAAGAAAGGCGAUCACUACGUCCUGAAUGGCAACAAGUUCUGGAUCACCAAUGGCCCCGACGCUGACAUCCUUAUUGUCUAUGCUAAGACUGAUCUGGCUGCUGUGCCAGCCUCUCGAGGCAUCACGGCCUUUAUCGUGGAGAAGGGUAUGCCUGGCUUCAGCACCUCUAAGAAGCUGGACAAGCUGGGGAUGAGGGGCUCUAACACCUGCGAGCUAAUCUUUGAAGACUGCAAGGUUCCCGCUGCCAACAUCCUGGGCCAUCUAGGUAAGGGCGUCUACGUGCUGAUGAGUGGACUGGACCUGGAACGGCUGGUGCUGGCUGGUGGGCCCCUUGGGCUCAUGCAGGCUGUCCUCGACCACACCAUUCCCUACCUGCACAUGAGGGAAGCCUUUGGCCAGAAGAUUGGCCACUUCCAGCUGAUGCAGGGGAAGAUGGCCGACAUGUACACCCGCCUCAUGGCGUGUCGGCAGUACGUCUACAAUGUUGCCAAGGCCUGUGAUCAGGGCCACUGCACUCCCAAGGACUGCGCAGGGGUGGUUCUUUACUCAGCUGAGUGCGCCACACAGGUAGCUCUGGAUGGCAUCCAGUGUUUUGGUGCCAAUGGCUACAUCAAUGACUUUCCCAUGGGCCGCUUUCUGCGAGAUGCCAAACUGUACGAGAUUGGGGGUGGGACCAGUGAGGUGAGGCGACUGAUCAUCGGCAGAGCCUUCAACGCAGACUUCCACUGAUCCCGACCCUUCACCCCUUUUCCCAGCACCUCGAGGCCUUUCUUUGGAAGCAGAGAUACAGCGGCUCUCCUGCUGCUCAGCUGCCAAGUGCUCAGGCCUCAGAGCUGGGCCAGCCAGCCAGGCCAGACACGGCAAGAUGUGGGCAGGCAUGGGGUGGAAGGGGCAUUUGUAGCCACACUUUCUGGUCUGAAGAUUCUGUGGGACAUUAAUGAAGGCCAUGGCCAGUGGAGGGCCUAACUGAAAUGUGUUCAGUGGCUUAAAAUGGACUCAGCAGGAAGACUUCUGGCUCUUCCAGGGCUUGUCGGGAAGGCUUUGGUGACUCUCUAGCUUCCGGGCCCUACACUCCCCUGGGUGGGCACUUGGGGGCAGGCAGGCAGCCACCCCUUUUUUCAGCAACACUUCUAGCAGGGAGCCCAGGACACAAGAAGCAUUGCUCUUCUCCAUGUAUUUGAAUCUGGUAGCCUCUUCUUUCUGGGGGGGAGAAAACCUGCCAAAACCUGGACUCUGUUUCUGCUGAUUUUUAGAAGCAUCCACUCCCAGCAGCUCCUCUGUUCCCCUGGGGCUCCAUUUGUUAGGGCUGAGAUCAUGCCAUGUUGGGGUGGAGCUUGGGGAAUAGGCAUCUCAGAACACCUGUGCUACCUGGACUCCACCAUGGGUCAGAGGUCAGUGUGCUUGGGAGGGAUCGGCUCAGCACGGGUCUCUGUGGCAGCACCUCUGAGCCCUUGAGCACUGCUCUGUCCAGUCCUGGCCGGAUGACAGCCCACAGCAGGCAUGGUUGGCGGCUCAACUCCAGCCAAGGCUGCCUGUGUACAUUUCUCUGGACACCCUAUGGCUAGUUCUGUUACAACAGAACAGCGGCUGCUGCCAUUUUGUAUUAUACUGAGAAGCAAACCCAUCUGCUUCUAAACUGGUGUUUUGGGGGAAAAGCAAUCUACUUGCUACUGCCUCCUGUCUGCGUCUAACCCUAUGUCCUUGGCGAAGGGCUAGUCCGGGUGCUACCCUCCUGCCCUUCAGCCUGCUCACUGGUGAUGUGGGACAAAGAGGUGGCAUCCGCCUUUAGGACAGAAGAGGUUUUAACCUCCCUUUCCCAGAUCGCCCAGAGAGGUUAAGAGUCUUGGAGCUAGAAGGAAGCUUAUAAGUUUCUGGACACCAUCUCCAUGGUAUUUAAGAAGAUCAAGACAAUUUGAUUUUCUCAAGGUCAGAACUGAAGCUAGAAUCCAGAUAAGCAGAAAUGAGAAUGCCAGCCUGCCGCCCCCCCCCCCCCCCCCCCCACUGCAGUCAAGAGUGGAAUGGGCUUGGGUUGUUCCACACUAUCUAAAUUCCUUAAAAGAACUCGUUUUCUUGGCUUUCAGCCCAGGGGUGCCUUUCUGACUUUUGGUCCUGGCCUGUAGCCAAGUGCUGUUCCAGCCUGAUGCUUGAGACAGGUGGAGUUAGCGCCUUACCAACCCCAGCCCAGUUCCAUCCUAAGCAGGGGGAGACCCAGGGCUUGGGGCACUGUCCUCUUACGUCCCCACCCUGCCCCUUGUUGUGUUGGAGAUGAAUGUGGCCAGAACACUGGUCUUGCUGGGUUUAAAGUGUAGCUGGAACAGUCUAGAGACCUUCAGAAUGUGACAAAAUGGAAUGUUUCCUCCAGUCUGUGUGGGUUAAGGAGCCCUGCCACCAGCGUGGGGAGAAUGUGAUUGUUCUCCUGAUGCUCUAUGUGAAUUAGAAAAGAAAAGUGUUUUUAAAAAAAGGCAAAAAUAAA